CAAAAUACCCCUUAAUGUAUUGACAAGUUAAUAGGAACAAAUUCCCUCUCCUAUCAACACAUCUUCUGAUCAUGGAACUUCUAUUUUCUGAUCAAUCAAUAUCUGCCACAUUAGCUCCUGACAAAAGACUAUUUAUAAUUGCUGUCAAAGUGUUCAGAUCAGAGAGAUGCAGACUAAAUGACAAAACAUUAAAUUACUAAUGAUUAUCAAAUGCAACGC
rnacentral:lncRNA from 1 species